rnacentral:lncRNA from 1 species
UAGAAGACCGACUGCCUUUAGUGACUGGUAGUUUCCUCCUUACAGGUGGUGCCUGAAAAGUAGAGUGUUCCCUCCACCUUCAAAGCUGAAAAUUAAUAAACUUCCACAUCAUGAGUGCUUGAGUAAUACAAAUGGGUCCCAGAACAGCAAUUCUAAGAGCCAACACGUUGAAGUUUCCAGUACUGAAAUCCAGUUUCUGAUUGUCUGCUCUUGCAAGGCCAAAACCAACAGGAGAGUAACAUUGUAUUGAAGAGUAACAAAAAUGACAGAAGCCAUUGCUGUUAUCUCAAACAUAAGCCCAGCAGGAAGACCAUCGCCACACAGGAGACGAUGUCUGCGUGAUUCUGCAGGACGAAUUCGUGGCUCAGGACCGGGGAGCUCUUGGUGCUCUUCUUGCGAAUCCCAAUGGUGGGGGCCCCCGCCUGUGCCUGCAGGUGCUCUGCCCGGGGCUCUGCUCUCUCCAGAGUCAAGCUUCUGGCUGAGAACUUCCUAUGAUUUUCCCAGCCAGACCACAGACAAUUAUAAAGCUCAGUGUGUAGUCAGUGCAUUGCAGUCUAUGAAGGGAGUUACUCUCAAUGAUUCCAGC